rnacentral:lncRNA from 1 species
CUCCCCUACCAUCUUCGGGGAGGCGUUGGCUCGAGACCUCCAGAAGUUUCCCACCAGAGACCUAGGCUGCAUGUUGCUCCAGUAGGUUGAUGACCUUCUUCUGGGACACCCCACGGCAGUCGGGUGCACCAAGGGAAUGGAUGCCCCACACCGGCACCUGGAGGACUGCGGGUAUAAGGUGUCCAAGAAAAAAGCUCAGAUCUGCUGACAGCAG